UAGGCGGCAGGUUGUAGCCCUGUGCAGGCGGGUUUAACCCCGUCCUUAUCAA
rnacentral:tRNA from 1 species